CUGGCGCCACCGGGCCCUCUGACCACCACCAGUAGGCAACGGGUGAAGUGUCUUGCCCAAGGACACAACGACCAAGACUGUCCAAGCCGGGGUGGAUGCAGAUGCAGAUGCAGAGUUACAUGUGAACAGACUGAACAGUAAUCACUGCCAGUGUUUUUACGUUUGCUCUGUGUAGGUAUGAAAGAAACAGACUUUAUGUUGACUGACUCUUCAGUGAAAACCUGGCACACACAUGCUCUCACAAGUUGGAUUCAUUUCUGUUUCAGGAAACAAGAGGAAACGCAGUGAAACUGAAUCGGAGUCAGCAGAGAAAACGGCUGAAGCUGGCUUUAAGAAGAACAACAUUGUGAGUGAUUCAAGUUCAGAUGAAGAGCGAGAGGCUGAAACUGAUGGACUGAAGAGCCCUCAGCCUGACAAGGAGAUAAAAAUCCCUUCAUGGAGGAAAUCCAUCCCUGAUGUAAAGAUCAGCGGUGACCUUGGAAACAAAGUCAUAGCUGGCAAAGUUGUGGCGAAAUCUGGUCUGCGUAUAUACGAAACCAAAAAGAGGGAGAAGAAGUUUUUCUUUUACCUGGGAGUGGCUGAUGAAACAGGCAGCAUUAAAGUGAUGGUGUAUGGAAGAGAGCGCUAUCAGCGUUUCCAGGAGAAGAGCUGCUACCUGUUCAGAGAGAUCAUCCUGGACGAAAAUGUCAUGAAAGUGACCAAAAAGAGCGUCAUAUCAAAGACAGCAGCUAUUGAUGUUCCUGAGAACCUGGAGAUGGAAGCUCAGAUGUUCGUUUAUUCCCAGACUCCAGUUUGCUCCAUCGGACAGGCCAUCGGAUCAGCGGAGAAGACAUCAGUGAGUGUUCAAGGAACAGUAAGAGAGGGUGCAGCCAACAUCAGAGCACCACACAGAAGGGCCCGCUAACUGAGGAACUGCGGAGUGCUUCGGAGGCAUCUACCAUCAGCGACCCCCACUCCCAGAUCUCACCCACAGUGGAAACGUGUCAGGUGCUGCAAGAGGAAGCAGAAGAGGGGUAAGCGCGGAGGCAUCAGGCAGGAUCAGGCAGGCUAGCGGCUGAAUUUGUUUUUACAUUUUUGAACCUUCUACAGAGGCACCGUUCAGAGAAUCCUCACCAGC